rnacentral:rRNA from 1 species
CGGCUCAGUAACACGUAGCUAACCUGACCUUAGGUCAAAGAUAAUCUCGGGAAACUGAGGAUAAACUUUGAUAGAAAAUGUUUUCUGGAAUGAGAUAUUUUUUAAAUUCGUGCCUAAGGAUGGGGCUGCGGCUGAUUAGCUAGUUGUUGGUGUAAUAGACUAACAAGGCGAUGAUCAGUAAGGGCUCUUAGCGGAGAAGCCCUGAGAAGGAAUCUGAGACACUAUUCCUAGCUCUACGGGGUGCAGCAGUCGAGGAACUUUUCCAAUGCUCGUAAGGGUGAGAAAAUUAGCCAGAGUGUUUUCUUUACGAAAACUUUUAUCUGCUGUAAAAAGGCGGAUGAAUAAGGACUGGGCAAGACCGGUGCCAGCCGCCGCGGUAAUCCCGGCGGUCCAAGUCGCAUCCACAAUUACUGGGUCUAAAACAUUCGUAGCUUGCUUUAUAAGUCUCUCGUGAAAUCUCAUAUCUCAAGUAUGAGGCGUGCAAGAGAUACUAUUUAGCUAGAGACUGGAAGACGCAAAGAGUACGAUGGAGGUAGUGGUAAAAUAUGUUAAUCUUCAUCGGACUAACAAUGGCGAAGGCACUUUGCGAGUACAGAUCUGACAGUGAGGAAUGAAGGCUAGGGGCGCAAAAGGGAUUAGAUACCCCUGUAGUCCUAGCAGUAAACACUGCUCACUAAACA